rnacentral:rRNA from 1 species
CUAAACUCAAAUCAGGUAGGAUUACCCGCUGAAUUUAAGCAUAUUAAUAAGCGGAGGAAAAGAAACUAACAAGGAUUCCCCUAGUAACUGCGAGUGAAGCGGGAAGAGCUCAAGCUUAAAAUCUGCAGGUAUUAAAUUACUUGCCGAAUUGUAGCUUAUGGAGGCAGUUUUCAUCUCUGCGGCGUGGUAAAAGUUCUUUUGAAUAAGACAUCAAAGAGGGUGAAAAUCCCGUAUUUGACCAUGCUGGGAAUACUAAAAGUAGGGAUAUGUGAACUGUUUUCUUUGAGUCGGGUUGUUUGGGAAUGCAGCCCUAAUUUGGAGGUAAAUUUCUUCUAAAGCUAAAUACUGGCAAGAGACCGAUAGCAAACAAGUACCGUGAGGGAAAGAUGAAAAGCACUUUGAAAAGAGAGUGAAAAGUACGUGAAAUUGUUGAAAGGGAACCAGUUGGUAGCCAAGCUUCGAUAAAGAUGGGGUAACUUGUCUUUAACGAGGUCAACAUCGGUUGCUAUUUAGCCGCCUGAGAGGAAUUUUGUAGGUUAGCGGAGUAAGGUAGAAUGUAUAGGGAUUUAUCUCUAUUCAUUUGUUAUAGACUCUAUGAAUCUACUGUAAUUAUGCCUUGAGGCGGUGGCGACCGAGGUACGCAGUGUUUGCCUUUGGCAAUGGAGAAAUUUAGGAAGGUAUGGUUUUUUUGGUUUUUAUAGACAGCUUGCUGACUAUGAUGGCAAAAGAAUAUAUCUCAUCUUAAAUUUUUACCCAGAAACACUUGGGAUGUUGGCGAAAAGGCACCAAUUGACCCGUCUUGAAACACGGACCAAGGAGUCCAACAUAUAUGCGAGUAUAUGGGAAUUUAAACCCACAUGCGUAAUGAAAGUGAAACAUUUUUGAGUGUGACCAAUUUCCUUUUGGAAGUUGAGCAACACCAACCGGCUUUAGAUAGCGUUGCUUGACAAAGCUGAGUAAGAGCAUAUAUGCUGGGACCCGAAAGAUGGUGAACUAUGCCUGAAUAGGGUGAAGUCAGAGGAAACUCUGAUGGAAGCUCGUAGAGAUUCUGACGUGCAAAUCGAUCUCCAAAUUUGGGUAUAGGGGCGAAAGACUAAUCGAACCAUCUAGUAACUGGUUCCUGCCGAAGUUUC